AUUAGGCAUGCAAGUCGAACGGUAUAAACCUUCGGGGUUUAGAGAGUGGCGAACGGGUGAGUAACACGUAGGUAAUCUAACCCUCAAAACGGGGGACAAACCCAGGGGAAAACUUGGGCUAAUACCGGAUGCGUGCAAGCAAUGUUUGGCUGUUAAUGCUAUUCACGGAAGUGAGUAGUGUUAAUGGUUGAGAGCAUUAUUUGCAUAAAAGGUGGCCAUAUGCUGCCGUUUGAGGAUGAGCCUGCGUCCUAUUAGUUAGUUGGUGAGGUAAUGGCUUACCAAGGCGAUGAUAGGUAGGCGGCCUUAACGGGUGGUCGCCCACACUGGGAUUGAGAGACGGCCCAGACUCCUACGGGAGGCAGCAGUCGAGAAUAGUCUACAAUGGACGGAAGUCUGAUAGUGCGACGCCGCGUGAACGAAGAAUCCCUUCGGGGUGUAAAGUUCUUUUAUACGUGAGCAGUGCCCUUUAUAUGAAUAGUAUAGAGGGAGGGAUUUAAGCGUAUGAAUAAGCAACGGCUAACUCCGUG
rnacentral:rRNA from 1 species